GGAUUAGAUACCCUGGUAGUCCACACUGUAAACGAUGAUAACUAGAUGUUCGGCAGCAAUGCUGAGUGUUCAAGCGAAAGCGAUAAGUUAUCCACCUGGGGAGUACGACCGCAAGGUUGAAACUCAAAGGAAUUGACGGGGGCCCGCACAAGUGGUGGAGCAUGUGGUUUAAUUCGAUGAUACGCGAGGAACCUUACCUAGGCUAGAAUGUUACUGCAUAUACUUGAAAGGGUAUAGUCCUUCGGGACAGGAAACAAGGUGCUGCAUGGUUGUCGUCAGCUCGUGCCG
rnacentral:rRNA from 1 species